GUGUCCUUUGCCCAGCACACCUGUCACCCACCUCAACCCCUUCUCUCUUUUCCCCAUCUUUCUGUGGCUAGCUCCUCCUCAUUCUUUAGGUCUCAGUGUAGACAGCACCACUAUCAGGAAGGAGUCCUGACACUGCCAGGCCUAAGGCUUCCAGAUACAGCCCUGUAGGUCAUCCAGAGGUGCCAGCCAGCCCUCACCAGUGGUCAGCUUUUCCUCAGUGGAGUGGUCAGCAGUCCAACUACCAGGGCCAGGGCCCCAUCAAAGAAUCCUCAGUGCCAGCCGGAAAGAAUGAUGAACUCCCCGUGUAAAGGGAGUUUCGGGCGACCACUCAAACCAUGGCCUCAUGAGAAGCAGCUGACUAGGGAAUGA